GGGUGAAGUGCCAUUGUUGCAGAGGCUACCUAGUUCUUCCCUCAUAAAAAUUGCUCAACUUGUCAAGGUUAAACGUUAUGAUCGUGGAGAUUAUGUUAUCCGCGAAGGAGAAGCUGUGGAUGGAAUUUACUUUAUAUGGGAUGGAGAGGCAGAAGUAUGCGGUUUCUGCCAAGCUGAUGAUGAAAAUCGUCCUGAAUUCCAGCUGAAAAAAUUUGAUUAUUUUGGUCAUGGUUUGGCGACAUCUAGACAGACUGCCGAGGUGAUCGCAUUGUCUAAGCUGACCUGCUUAGUGUUGCCUCAUGAGCAUAAUAAUCUGCUCCAGCCCAAAUCAAUUUGGAACGCAGAUCAAGAAAGAGAUCUGUGUCCACUUGUGGAGCACAUAUUGCUCUUGGAGCCUAUUGAGGUGAACAUUUUCCAAGGUAUAACAUUGCCAGAUGCCCCUAGAUUUGGGAAAGUAUUUGGAGGUCAGUUUAUUGGGCAGGCAUUGGCUGCAGCAUCAAAAACUGUUGAUUUUCUCAAAAUUGUUCAUAGUUUGCAUGCCUACUUCCUUCUUGUUGGGGAUCUUGAAAUUCCAAUCAUAUAUCAAGUUUACCGUGUACGUGAUGGAAAGAGCUUUGCUACACGGAGGGUGGAUGCAAUUCAGAAAGGGAAUGUCGUAUUCACAUUGCUAGCUUCAUUUCAGAAAGAUGAAGAUGGAUUUGAUCACCAAGAAGCAAAAAUGCCUGAUGUGCCUGAUCCAGAAACGCUUUUAUCACUGGAAGAUUUGAGAGAAAUGCGCAAGACUGAUCCCCGGCUUCCCAGGACAUACCGAAAUAAGGUUUCUACUGCAAAAUUUGUUCCAUGGCCAAUAGAGAUAAGGUUUUGUGAACCUAACAAUGCCACUAAUUACACCAAGUCUCCUCCAAGCUUGAGAUAUUGGUUCAGAGCAAAAGGAAAACUUUCAGA
rnacentral:misc_RNA from 1 species